UACAGAGGUCUCAAGCGUUUGUUCGGAUUCAUUGGGCGUAAAGGGUGUGUAGGUGGCGCCGUAAGUCGGGUGUGAAAUUUCGGAGCUUAACUCCGAAACUGCAUUCGAUACUGCGGUGCUUGAGGACUGGGAGAGGAGACUGGAAUUUACGGUGUAGCGGUGAAAUGCGUAGAGAUCGAUGAAGGAAGACCAGUGGCGAAGGCGGGUCUCUGGACAGUUCCUGACGCUGAGGCACAGGAAGGCCAGGGGAGCAAACGGG
rnacentral:rRNA from 1 species